rnacentral:rRNA from 1 species
GGGAAUAUUGGACAAUGGGCGAAAGCCUGAUCCAGCAAUGCCGCGUGAGUGAUGAAGGCCUUCGGGUUGUAAAGCUCUUUUGUCAGGGAAGAAAUCCCUAGCGUUAAUACCGCUGGGGGAUGACAGUACCUGAAGAAUAAGCACCGGCUAACUACGUGCCAGCAGCCGCGGUAAU